GAUGAACGCUGGCGGCGUGCCUAAUACAUGCAAGUCGAGCGAAUGGAUUGAGAGCUUGCUCUUAUGAAGUUAGCGGCGGACGGGUGAGUAACACGUGGGUAACCUGCCCAUAAGACUGGGAUAACUCCGGGAAACCGGGGCUAAUACCGGAUAACAUUUUGAACCGCAUGGUUCGAAAUUGAAAGGCGGCUUCGGCUGUCACUUAUGGAUGGACCCGCGUCGCAUUAGCUAGUUGGUGAGGUAACGGCUCACCAAGGCAACGAUGCGUAGCCGACCUGAGAGGGGGAUCGGCCACACUGGGACUGAGACACUGCCCAGACUCCUACGGGAGGCAGCAGUAGGGAAUCUGCCGCAAUGGACGAAAGUCUGACGGAGCAACGCCGCGUGAGUGAUGAAGGCUUUCGGGUUGUAAAACUCUGUUGUUAGGGAAGAACAAGUGCUAGUUGAAUAAGCUGGCACCUUGACGGUACCUAACCAGAAAGCCACGGCUAACUACGUGCCAGCAGCCGCGGUAA
rnacentral:rRNA from 1 species